AGGCCCUUCCCAAUUCCUAUUCUGUGCAACUUUUCCACCAUUGUAAUCACCAUUCCUUUCUCUAUAGGUUGACUAAAGAAAAACAACCAACCGUAAAGGUGAGUCGGCAGAGCCACCGUACCAGAAAACUCCAUCGCCGUUAAGCUUCAGUUUUUUAACUUUUUUUGGCCAACCGAGGCCUCUUAACGUGUUUUAUCGAAGGGAUAGAUACAAAAUCAGCCCACCCGAGGCAAACCGCCACAGUGGGUGGUGGUACCAUCGUUGGAGCACGGCUGAGCCACCACACCAGAAUUUUAGAAUUGGCCAAAAAGGGUUUCU
rnacentral:lncRNA from 1 species